CAACAAAGGCCACACCCCGCGUGUCUGUUCAUCAGACUAUCUGCACAACAGUAGUUAGUGAGAGAAGAUACCAUGGCUCUCACCCUCAUGGUUUUGUUUAGCCUCAGUGAGAUGCGAAAAGGGGAAGGAGUCACCUACGUCAAGGAGAGACCCCACUCCAAGACCGGAUCUGGCAUGUGAGGGGAAUCCUAGGGCACAGGAGGCUCUUGGUAGGAGGGGAUCUCCUCAGCUUUCAGGAUGAACUUCUCACAGGACAAUCUCUUUCAGGGCUGAGUCUGGGCUACAAGAAAGCAGUAUUGGCUGAUUCUGUGAUCACUUGGGGGACAACUAUGAGCAUCUGGUGUCAGGGUACUUUUGAGGCUCUUGAGUACCAUCUGAAAAGAGAAGGAAGCCCAUCAUCCUUAUGCAGACAGACUUCAUUGGAGCACAAAAACAAGGAUUCUACAGAAACCCACCACCUCAGUCUUGCCCAGCUCUGAAGAAACCUCAGGAUGGAAGAUGACAAUUCAAUGUGAUUCCUCGCUGGGAUAUGAUAGGUUUAUUUUGACUGAGGAAGGAGAACACAGCCUAUCCAGGACUAUACAUGCACAGCAUGUACCCACUGGACAGUUUCAGGCCCUGUUCUCUGUGGGUUCUGUGACCUUUGGCCAGAAAUGGAUGUCAAAAUGCUAUGGCAAUUACAAGAUCAAUCCAUAUGUGUGGAUUAGAAUCCAGUAACCAUUUGAAGUUCCUGGUGUCAGGUGAGGAAGCUCCGUGAUUGACUCAAUAAUUUUUGAGGUUUCCUCCAUACAUUUUCAUGAGUCUUGCUAUCAGGGAAACUAAAAUGGGAUGUGGCUAAGUGGAGUCACAGAAAACACACACACACACACACGAGCUGGGGGGAGAGGAAGAAAGAAAGGGAAAAUGCUUUUUCAAAUUGUAAGAUAGGGUCUCUCUAAUUAUCUUUGGCUGGAGAUGAAGGAGGAGUGGAUGGGGGUGUAGAAGGGAGGUAAAAGGAGGGAACAGGAGGAGAGGAGAGAGGGGAACUGUGGCAGAUAUGCAAUAUAAAUAAAUAAAAAAGAACACUGGUUGCUCUCCCAGAGGACCCAGUUUUAUUCCCAACACCCACAUGAUGUUUCCCAACUGUCUGUAACUUCAGUUUCAGGGGAUCCAACAUCCUCACACAGACACACACGCAGGCAAAGCACCAAUGCACAGAAAAUAAAAGAUAGUUUAUCUUAAGUCAUGAAAAUAAGACAUAAGAAGUCCUCAGGGGAACAUUUUGCAUCUCAUCAGGAUAAAUAUGCUCUUCUGCUUCUUUCUUUUUUUGGGAACAGUUCAGCCCAUUACAGAACAAGUCAGACACUGAAACACCUGACCAAGGAGAAGCCUUAGAUAUGGCAAUAGAUAAAUACAGAAGGUACAGUCUUGUCCAUGGGAGGCAUGUGCCCUGUAUGAGCAUUCAUGUUUCCUAUGACCUUCCUUUGUUGUGAUUUCUUUGUACAGUUCCCAGGAUCACAGAGUGGAGAAUCUCAUUCAGAUCACUGUGGCUGCUUUGAUUCUGGUGAGCCUUGGAAUUCUGCUUUUUUGGGGUCUCCCAUAGCCAGAGAAGGAAAUGAGACCUUAACGGUUAUAUUUAGACAGAAAAAGGGAACUCACACACUAAAGAGGGGAAGUGAAGAUAACCUAAUGGAGGAGUAUGAACAAAGUACACUGAUAAAAACAUAAAAACUAUUAUUUUGAAACCUGUUCUCUUGUAUGUUAACAAAAUUAGUAAAAUAAAUAAAUUCAAAACGGAGCUGUCUAAAAAAUUUUGUACUUCCUAUCUAGGUUCUUAU